AACCCAGGCGGCCUCUCCUGAUGAUCCUUCUUCCUGAGUAGCUCUACUGAUGAGCAACUGAGCCUCUAAGAAGUUGUCUGAAGGGGCUCCUUCCCC
rnacentral:snoRNA from 1 species